rnacentral:rRNA from 1 species
AAGWGRCAGGCUUAAUACAKRCAAGUCGAGGUGCAGCAGCUUUAUAGCRAAAUAGAGGCUGGCGACCGGCAAACGGGUGCGGAACACRUACACAACCUUCCUUGAAUAGGGGGAUAGCCCWUAGAAAUGWGGWUUAAUACCCCGUAAUAUAGCGGUGKGGCAUCACACUGUUAUUAUAGUUUCGGCGAUUCGAGAUGGGUGUGCGGCUGAUUAGGUAGUUGGCGGGGUAAAGGCCCACCAAGCCUUCGAUCAGUAGSUGAUGUGAGAGCAUGAUCAGCCACACGGGCACUGAGACACGGGCCCGACUCCUACGGGAGGCAGCAGUAAGGAAUAUUGGUCAAUGGACGCAAGUCUGAACCAGCCAUGCCGCGUGAAGGAWGAARGKCSUCUGGAUUGUAAACUUCUUUUAUAGGGGGSGAAAAAAGGUCUUUCUAGAUCACUGACAGUACCG